rnacentral:rRNA from 1 species
GACGUAGGGCGCGAGCGUUGUCCGGAUUUAUUGGGCGUAAAGAGCUCGUAGGCGGCUUGUCGCGUCGUUCGUGAAAACCUGCAGCUCAACUGCAGGCUUGCGGUCGAUACGGGCAGGCUAGAGUUCGGUAGGGGAGACUGGAAUUCCUGGUGUAGCGGUGAGAUGCGCAGAUAUCAGGAGGAACACCGAUGGCGAAGGCAGGUCUCUGGGCCACUACUGACGCUGAGAAGCGAAAGCAUGGGGAGCGAACAGG